AAAGCGUGCGCAGGCGGUUAUACAAGACAGGCGUGAAAUCCCCGGGCUUAACCUGGGAAUGGCGUCUGUGACUGUAUGACUAGAGUGUGUCAGAGGGGGGUAGAAUUCCACGUGUAGCAGUGAAAUGCGUAGAUAUGUGGAGGAAUACCAAUGGCGAAGGCAGCCCCCUGGGAUAACACUGACGCUCAUGCACGAAAGCGUGGGGAGCAAACAGGAUUAGAUACCCUAGU
rnacentral:rRNA from 1 species